UGUGUCUAGAAACCGAUUUUCUGGAUAGUUUGUCUUCAGCUGCGAAAACAUUUUUUUAGCCUAAUGCGCGCGUUUUUUUUGAUUUUCUGGCCCACUGUGAGACGCUUAUCACUGCAAUUAAUUAGGAUUUUUUAAAUUUUAAAAUUCAACGGGCAGUGAAAUUUAAAAGGAUGAAUAAUGUAGAAUGAUAUUGUUGUUAGAUUGGGUUUUUCAUGUACGCUGAUAUGGUUGCAAAAAAUUGAAUAUAAAAAAUCUCAUAGUGCAACAGUUCGUUGGUAAAGUUACAGUUGGUGAAAUUUACGCGAGAACUGGUCGUUUGUAACGUUAAUUCAACAUUUCAGAUAGAAAAAUAUAUUCCUGUUUAAUUUUGUUCGAAGUUUACGAUAUACCUAGUGGAUUACCUGUAUUCAGAAAAUGAAAACCGUACUUUUGGUAGGAUUCCUCUUCGUAGGAUGCAUCGUUGUGCUCAACGCUUGCCGUGGGAGACCUUAUUCGGUACCUCGUCCAGCACCUCGUCCGGUACCGCCUCCGAUAAAUCUACCCAAAAACCUCGAAUUUUAUAAACCAGUCGAAUUUAAAAAUUUCGAAUUUAAAAAUGGCGAAUUUAAACCUGUCGAAUUUAAACCUCCUAGAGAUCCCAGCAACCACUACAAGAAUGAAUUACCAAAAGACUCCGCUCCGGAUAAACCCAUCGAUGUUCCUAAAAGUGUCCAUGUCGUCCACACGGGUCAUUCGUCUGGAGCCUCGGAUUCGAAUAUGGGCCAUUAUUCAGGACGUAUCAACUUAUGCCACGCAGUGCACUUCCUUUGGUUUUUAGUGCGUCCGAUUAUUCAAUAUUUAACGUUCUUAAACUAGACAGUGCUCUGAAACGAGUUUACAACCUUACACCUCAAUCAUACAGUCAAAUUUAAAAAAUUGACACCAAAAAACGCAGGCUUGUGUCCUAUUUUCCAGAUAACAUUUGAAGCAACGAAGAUAUAUGUAUAGUUAAGUACCUUAGUAGAUCCUGCUACUAGUUUUUCAGCUAUACAUAUUUUUUUUAAAUCGACAAUCGACGCUUUUUGAAAUGUCUUCAUUAUUCAGGCCAUCGAAGUAGGUACCUAUCUUUAAUUAAAAAAAAAAAAAAAGGAAUAAUGCGUCGAAUGAAUUCAAUAAAUCAUUUUGAACUCUAUGUACCUAGUACCUACCUAGUACCUGCUUUUUAAAUUCAUUAUAAUUUUCUCUUUUCUGCUUAAUAAACGCUUAAGUAUUUCAAUA